rnacentral:rRNA from 1 species
UACGGGAGGCAGCAGUGGGGAAUAUUGCACAAUGGGCGCAAGCCUGAUGCAGCCAUGCCGCGUGUAUGAAGAAGGCCUUCGGGUUGUAAAGUACUUUCAGUCGUGAGGAAGGUGUUAAGGUUAAUAACCUUAGCAAUUGACGUUAGCGACAGAAGAAGCACCGGCUAACUCCGUGCCAGCAGCCGCGGUAAUACGGAGGGUGCGAGCGUUAAUCGGAAUUACUGGGCGUAAAGGGCACGCAGGCGGUUAAUUAAGUUGGAUGUGAAUCCCCGGGCUUAACCUGGGAAUGGCAUUCAAGACUGGUUAGCUAGAGUCUUGUAGAGGGGGUAGAAUUCCAUGUGUAGCGGUGAAAUGCGUAGAGAUGUGGAGGAAUACCGGUGGCGAAGGCGGCCCCUGGCAAAGGACUGACGCUCAUGUGCGAAAGCGUGGGGAGCAAACAGGGAUUAGAUACC